rnacentral:ribozyme from 2 species
UUUUUUUUUUUUUUUUUUUUUUUUUUUUUC